GCCCGGGUCAUCUGGGGAGUAGCCGACCGCUUUCGGGCGGGCUCCUGCGUCAACAUACUUGGCCGAGAGGUCAUGGCGCAGGAGGGACGGGAAACCGUUCGGGCGAGACCAAUGGCACCUGCACUCCGCCUGGCCGGGCGGGGGUGCGGUGCCUUUGGUUUGUGCUAGCCCGGCCC
rnacentral:sRNA from 2 species